CCAAAGGAUGGGAGCUACUUGGAUCAUCAAUAUGAUCUCAAGAGGGGAACUCCUAAUGUGGUUUUAUUUUCUUUUCCCUUAUCUCUUGUAUGUUUAGGAAUUUAACCCUUUUCCCCCAUUCUAACCCAAGCCAAAACUUUUUGUGCAAACAAUAACUUUUGUUUUCAACAUUAGAAACCUAAGUCUUAUGCUUUUGAUUUUCAAAACUUAUUUUUCAUAACACUUAUUCUGAAUUGAACCUUUUAAUC
rnacentral:lncRNA from 1 species